UUAGCUAGUAGGUGGGGUAACGGCUCACCUAGGCGACGAUCCCUAGCUGGUCUGAGAGGAUGACCAGCCACACUGGAACUGAGACACGGUCCAGACUCCUACGGGAGGCAGCAGUGGGGAAUAUUGCACAAUGGGCGCAAGCCUGAUGCAGCCAUGCCGCGUGUGUGAAGAAGGCCUUCGGGUUGUAAAGCACUUUCAGCGGGGAGGAAGGCGGUGAGGUUAAUAACCUCGUCGAUUGACGUUACCCGCCAGAAGAAGCACCGGCUAACUCCGUGCCCAGCAGCCGCGGUAAUACGGAGGGUGCAAGCGUUAAUCGGAAUUACUGGGCGUAAAGCGCACGCAGGCGGUCAUGUCAAGUCGGAAUUGUGAAAUCCCCGGGCUCAACCUGGGAACUUGCAUUCGAAACUGGCCAGGCUAGAGUCUUGUAGAGGGGGGGUAGAAUUCCAGGUGUAGCGGUGAAAUGCGUAGAGAUCUGGAGGAAUACCGGUGGCGAAGGCGGCCCCCUGGACAAAGACUGACGCUCAGGUGCGAAAGCGUGGGGAGCAAACAGGAUUAGAUACCCUGGUAGUCCACGCCGUAAACGAUGUCGAUUUGGAGGUUGUGCCCUUGAGGCGUGGCUUCUGGAGCUAACGCGUUAAAUCGACCGCCUGGGGAGUACGGCCGCAAGGUUAAAACUCAAAUGAAUUGACGGGGGCCCGCACAAGCGGUGGAGCAUGUGGUUUAAUUGGAUGCAACGCGAAAACCCUUACCUGGUCUUGACAUCCACAGAACUUUUCAGAGAUGGAUUGGUGCCUUCGGGAACUGUGAGACAGGUGCUGCAUGGCUGUCGUCAGCUCGUGUUGUGAAAUGUUGGGUUAAGUCCCGCAACGAGCGCAACCCUUAUCCGUUGCUGCCAGCGCUUCCUCCAGGAACUGCAAUGAGACUGCCAGUAGUAAACGGGGGGAUGACGGCAAUGACAUCAAGUUAUCAUACCCCUUGCUACCAGGGCUACACGCGUGCUACAAUGGCAUAUACAAAGAGAAGCAACCUCGCGAGAGCAAGCGGACCUGAUAAGGUAUGUCGUAGUCCGGACUGGAGUCUGCAACUCGACUCCAUGAAGUCGGAAUCGCUAGUAAUCGUAGAUCAGAAUGCUACGGUGAAUACGUUCCCGGGCCUUGUACACACCGCCCGUCACACCAUGGGAGUGGGUUGCAAAAGAAGUAGGUAGCUUAACCUUCGGGAGGGCGCUACCACUGA
rnacentral:rRNA from 1 species